AAACGGCAGGUCCGGGCGUUAUCCGGAUUUAUUGGGUUUAAAGGGCGCGCAGGCGGAGAUGCAAGCGUGACGUCAAAUUUCGGGGAUCAACCCCGUCUCGCGUCGCGAACUGCGUCCCUUGGUUGCGGGAAGGGGAGGCGGAACUCGAGGUGUAGCGGGGAAAUGCAUAGAUAUCACGAAGAACUCCGAUCGCGAAGGCAGCCUUCCGGCCCGUCAACGACGCUCAUGCUCGAAGGUGCGGGUAUCAAACAGGAUUAGAUACCCUGGUAGUCCGCACAGUAAACGAUGGACACCCGCGGUUUGGCCUAUAUGGCUGAGCCGCCAAGCGAAAGCGUUAAGUGUCCCACCUGGGGAGUACGCCGGCAACGGUGAAACUCAAAUGAAUUGACGGGG
rnacentral:rRNA from 1 species